rnacentral:rRNA from 2 species
AAGUCGAACGGCAGCGCGGGAGCAAUCCUGGCGGCGAGUGGCGAACGGGUGAGUAAUACAUCGGAACGUGCCCAAUCGUGGGGGAUAACGCAGCGAAAGCUGUGCUAAUACCGCAUACGAUCUACGGAUGAAAGCAGGGGACCGCAAGGCCUUGCGCGAAUGGAGCGGCCGAUGGCAGAUUAGGUAGUUGGUGAGGUAAAGGCUCACCAAGCCUUCGAUCUGUAGCUGGUCUGAGAGGACGACCAGCCACACUGGGACUGAGACACGGCCCAGACUCCUACGGGAGGCAGCAGUGGGGAAUUUUGGACAAUGGGCGCAAGCCUGAUCCAGCCAUGCCGCGUGCAGGAUGAAGGCCUUCGGGUUGUAAACUGCUUUUGUACGGAACGAAACGGCCUUUUCUAAUAAAGAGGGCUAAUGACGGUACCGUAAGAAUAAGCACCGGCUAACUACGUGCCAGCAGCCGCGGUAAUACGUAGGGUGCAAGCGUUAAUCGGAAUUACUGGGCGUAAAGCGUGCGCAGGCGGUGAUGUAAGACAGUUGUGAAAUCCCCGGGCUCAACCUGGGAACUGCAUCUGUGACUGCAUCGCUGGAGUACGGCAGAGGGGGAUGGAAUUCCGCGUGUAGCAGUGAAAUGCGUAGAUAUGCGGAGGAACACCGAUGGCGAAGGCAAUCCCCUGGGCCUGUACUGACGCUCAUGCA